rnacentral:rRNA from 1 species
GAUGAACGCUGGCGGCGUGCCUAAUACAUGCAAGUCGAGCGAACGGACGAGAAGCUUGCUUUUCUGAUGUUAGCGGCGGACGGGUGAGUAACACGUGGAUAACCUACCUAUAAGACUGGGAUAACUUCGGGAAACCGGAGCUAAUACCGGAUAAUAUUUUGAACCGCAUGGUUCAAAAGUGAAAGACGGUCUUGCUGUCACUUAUAGAUGGAUCCGCGCUGCAUUAGCUAGUUGGUAAGGUAACGGCUUACCAAGGCAACGAUGCAUAGCCGACCUGAGAGGGUGAUCGGCCACACUGGAACUGAGACACGGUCCAGACUCCUACGGGAGGCAGCAGUAGGGAAUUUUCCGCAAUGGGCGAAAGCCUGACGGAGCAACGCCGCGUGAGUGAUGAAGGUCUUCGGAUCGUAAAACUCUGUUAUUAGGGAAGAACAUAUGUGUAAGUAACUGUGCACAUCUUGACGGUACCUAAUCAGAAAGCCACGGCUAACUACGU